UAUGUUACUCAGUCUGGUCUCAAACUCCUGGCCUCAAGCCUCUCACGGUGCUGGGAUUACAGGGCUGAGCCACUGUAUGCAUCCAAAAGUAAUUUUCUAUGUGGUUGUUGUAGGGAUUAAAAUCUCCAAAUUAAUUUAUCAUAAUCAACUUCUAAUGGCAGAAUAUAGAAACUUUACACAAAUAUAGCUCAAUUCCCUUUCUCCUCUUCUGUGCUAUUACUGUCACAUACAUUAUAAUAUGUUAUAAGCCCAAUAAUAGAGUUAUAAUUAUUACUUUAUACAAUCUUAUAUCUUUUAAACUUGAGAGAAAAGAAGAAAAAUAGAUUUAUGUGGUCUUCUAAAUUAACCUACAUAUUUACCAUUUUUGAUGCUCUUCAUUUCUUUCCAUAUAUUAAAGUUACCACCUUUUGUCAUUUCAUUUCAUCCUGAAAGUCUUCAUUUAGUAUUUCUUCUAAGGUAGGUCUAGUAGCAAUGAAUUCUCUCAGUCUUUGUUUAUUUGAAAAAGUCAUUAUUUCACCUUCAUUUUUAAAUGAUAGUUUUGCUGAAUAUAGAAUUUUGGGUUGAAUUUUUUCUUGCGGCAUUUUGAAUAUUCCACUGCCUUCUAACCUCCAUUGUUUUCAAUUACAAGUCUGCUGUUAUUUAUAUCUAUGCUCCCCUAUCCAUGAUGAGUUGCUUUUCUCUUGCUGCUUUCAAGGUUUUAUCUCUGUGUUUGGCUUCCGUAGGUUAACUAUGAUGUGUCUGGGUGUAGAUCUCUUUGUAUUUACCCUACUUGAGGUGUGUUGAGCUUUUGAUUGUGUAGACUAUUGCUUUUCACCAAAUUUGGCAAGUGUUUGGCUUUUAUUCUUCAAAUAUUUUUCUGUACCUUUCUCUCAUGAUCCUCCUUCUAAGACUCCCAUGACACACAUAUUGGUAAACUUGGUCUUGUUCCAUAAGUCUCUGAAACUUUGUUAUUUUUUUUCAAUCUUUUUGUUCCAUAUUCUUCAGAUUGAAUAAUUUCUAUUGAUUAAUCUUCAACUUCACUGACUCUGUCUUCUGCUAUCUUGAAUCUGCUAUUAAGACCCUGUGGUAAAUUUUUCAUUUUAGUUAUUGAACUUUUCAGGUUUUGUUUUUGUUUUGAGACAAGGCCUCACUCUGUUGCCCAGGCUGGAGUGCAGUGGCGUGGUCUUGGCUCACUGCAGCCUCCACUUCCCGGGUUCAAGUUAUUCUCCUGCCUCAGACUCCCCAAUAACUGGGAUUACAGGCAUCUGCCACCACGCCCAGCUAAUUUCUGCAUUUUUAGUAGAGACGGGGUUUCGUCAUGUUGGCCAGACUGGUCUCCAACUUCUAACCUCGGGUGAUCCGCCCACCUCAGCCUCCCAAAGAGCUGGGAUUACAGCCGUGAGCCACCGCUCCCAGCCUUAGUUAUUGAACUUUCCUUUUUUUUUCUGUGACAGAGUUUCACUCUUGUUUCCCAGGCUGGAGUAUAAUGGCGCAAUUUCGUCUCACUGUAACCUCUGCCUCCCGGCUUCAAGGGAUUCUCCUGCUUCAGCCUCCCACAUAGCUGGGAUUAUAGGCGCCUGCCAUCAUGUCCAGCUAAUUUUUUGUAUUUUCAGCAGAGACGGGGUUUCAUCAUGUUGGCCAGGUGGGUCUCGAACUCUCUACCUCAGGUGAUCCACAGGCCUCGGCCUCCCAAAGUGCUGGGAUUACACGUGUGAGCCACUGUGGCCGGCCAGUUAUUGAACUUUUCACAUCAAUUGUCAUACUUUUCUAGAAUUUCAAUUUUCCUCUUUUUUGUAAUUUCUAUUGUUUUUUGGAGAGUGUCUGUCUGUUGAUUCAUUUCCACGUUUUCCUUUAGUUCUUCAGUUCUUUGAACGUAAUUGCUGCUUUGAAGCCUUUGUCUGCUAAAUGAAUCCAACAGCUGGAUCAGAGAUAGUUCCUACUGACUGCCUCUUUUCUUGAGGGUGAGACAAUACUUUCCUGUUAUUUUUUAAUGUCUCAAAUUUAGGUGAAAAUGGACAUUCAGAUAAUACAUUGUAGCUACUCUGGCUCUGAUUUUCCCCCUGAAGGUUGUUGUUUCUAUCUUUAUUUAGUAACCGGCAUAGGCUAAUUCAGAAAAAUCUGUCUUCCCUUGUUGUGCAGCCCCUGAUGGUUCUGCUCAGUUGGGUUUUUAAAAAAUUCGUUUUUAUCUUUAAGCCUGGCUUUUUACGGAUUGCACCUGCAUCUUUGUAGCACAGUAGUCAGCCAAUGAUGGGACGGAAGUUGUGCUCAAACACCUCAAGUCAGUAAGGCUUCCUUUCUCUGACAAUCUGUCAGCACAAAAAUGCAUUCAAAGUUCAGACCAUUUUAAAGUCUUCCUCAACUUUAACAUUUCACAGGGCCUUUCUGCAUAUUCUCUAUACGUGCAUGCAGUUUGAGGGCUAGUCAGGAGUUUGCAGCUGACUCGGGCCCACCCUGGUCUCCGCGACACAUGUGCAUAGCCUCAGCCAAGAAUAUACUUGCCCUGGCCAUGACCACGAGUUCAGGAUAAUAGAGUGGCUGGUCAUACCUGCUCUUCUGUGGCCAGAAUUGUCAUUUCCACUGACAAAGCUGCUGGGCACAGGCAUGACUUCCCACUCCCAAAGCAAGUAAGCCCCCUUCAGUGACAGCAGUUAAGACUGCUAAUAUUUACAACCUGUCCCUCCACAUUACCAAGCUGAAGUGUUGGGGGAUAGGAAAAUGCCCAGGAAAGAAUGCAACAGACUUCUGCUUCAUAUCUGAAGCUCAGCAGCUUUUCAGGCAUAAAUGAUUCUCAGAUGUUAUAUACCUUUGGUUAAUUUCCAGAGCACUGAAAUGGUUAUUCUGUCAAUUCUGCCCUUGAGGGAAGAAUUUGCUCAUCUCAACUCAGGCAUGGUCGGAAAUCUCACUGCUGAAAUGUCUUUUAGGUUUCCUUUAAUCCACAGUCCCCUCUCCAUCCUUUUCAUUUUC
rnacentral:lncRNA from 1 species